UAGGGAAUCUUCGGCAAUGGACGAAAGUCUGACCGAGCAACGCCGCGUGAGUGAAGAAGGUUUUCGGAUCGUAAAACUCUGUUGUUAGAGGAGAACAAGGACGUUAGUAACUGAACGUCCCCUGACGGUAUCUAACCAGAAAGCCACGGCUAACUACGUGCCAGCAGCCGCGGUAAUACGUAGGUGGCAAGCGUUGUCCGGAUUGAUUGGGCGUAAAGCGAGCGCAGGCGGUUUCUGAAGUCUGAUGUGAAAGCCCCCGGCUAAACCGGGGAGGGUCAUUGGAAACUGGGGGACUUGGGUGCAGAAGAGGAGAGUGGAAUUCCAUGUGUAGCGGUGAAAUGCGUAGAUAUAUGGGGGAACACCAGUGGCGAAGGCGGCUCUCUGGUCUGUAACUGACGCUGAGGCUCGAAAGCGUGGGGAGCAAACAGG
rnacentral:rRNA from 1 species